rnacentral:rRNA from 3 species
AGAGUUUGAUCCUGGCUCAGAUUGAACGCUGGCGGCAGGCCUAACACAUGCAAGUCGAGCGGAUGACGGGAGCUUGCUCCUUGAUUCAGCGGCGGACGGGUGAGUAAUGCCUAGGAAUCUGCCUGGUAGUGGGGGACAACGUUUCGAAAGGAACGCUAAUACCGCAUACGUCCUACGGGAGAAAGCAGGGGACCUUCGGGCCUUGCGCUAUCAGAUGAGCCUAGGUCGGAUUAGCUAGUUGGUGAGGUAAUGGCUCACCAAGGCGACGAUCCGUAACUGGUCUGAGAGGAUGAUCAGUCACACUGGAACUGAGACACGGUCCAGACUCCUACGGGAGGCAGCAGUGGGGAAUAUUGGACAAUGGGCGAAAGCCUGAUCCAGCCAUGCCGCGUGUGUGAAGAAGGUCUUCGGAUUGUAAAGCACUUUAAGUUGGGAGGAAGGGCAGUAAGUUAAUACCUUGCUGUUUUGACGUUACCGACAGAAUAAGCACCGGCUAACUCUGUGCCAGCAGCCGCGGUAAUAC